UCCAAUUCAGAGGCUCUGCUCCAGACAUUAUCUGGUCUUAACUUCUAUACUACCCAUACCCUUUUAAAUUCAACAUGAAUAUGAAAAAUCAUAUUGAUUUCUGUUUGUGGUGAAGCGGAAAGGUAGAUCCUCCGAGGCGGAAGCCGAGUUUGAGAAGUCAGACAGAGGACAUGAGCCAGACAUUGUAAAGUUUUCUGAAUUAUUUUAUGGGCGCCAUUUCAGAGUUGUUCUUAUUGGAUCAGCUCUAUAUGCGUUUCAACAACUCUCAGGAAUUUCUAUUCUUCUUCAACCGUCCUUAAAAGUGUGGGGGUUCCAUCAGACGAGGGAAACAUCUGCAUAGGAGUUGAGAAUUUAUCUGCAAUGACUUUGAUGGAUAAACUAGGACGGAUGCUUCUUCUUCUUGGGAGUUCUUUUGGCAUGGCAGUAGCAAUGUGCAUUCAGGCCUGUGCGUCAAGUUUUAGCGCGUCUGGAGCCUCACCGUACUUAUCUGUUGGCGAGAUGUUACUUUAAGUAACUUGGAAACCACAAUGUUAAAUUUGUGGCCGUAACUCAAAGUAACUGUUUUAUUAGAUAUACUCAUCUGAUUAUUAUAGCUAGUGGUAACACUACUACUUCUCAUGUAUGUCGAAGGUUAUAAUGAUAUUGACUGUCAAAAUGGAAUCGUUGGAAUUUUUCUAAUCAA